GGUUGGAACUGGCGGCCUUGAGUGGGCAAGAGGCGCGUGGAAUUCGUGGUGUAGCGGUGAAAUGCAUAGAUAUCACGAGGAACUCCGAUUGCGAAGGCAGCGCGCUGGGGCCUUACUGACGCUGAUGCUCGAAGGCGCGGGUAUCAAACAGGAUUAGAUACCCUGGUAGUCCGCGCGGUAAACUAUGGACGCUCGCGGUGCGGGUCUUAGACUUACGCCGCCUAGCGAAAGCGUUAAGCGUCCCACCUGGGGAGUACGCCGGCAACGGUGAAACUCAAAGGAAUUGACGGGGGCCCGCACAAGCGGAGGAACAUGUGGUUUAAUUCGAUGAUACGCGAGGAACCUUACCCGGGCUUGAAAUGUGCAUGACAGGAAGCAGAGACGCUUCCCUCCUUCGGGCAUGCAUGUAGGUGCUGCAUGGUUGUCGUCAGCUCGUGCCGUGAGGUGUCGGCUUAAGUGCCAUAACGAGCGCAACCCUUCCCCCCGGUUGCCAGCAGGUAAUGCUGGGCACUCCGUGGGCACUGCCAUCGCAAGAUGUGAAGAAGGCGGGGAUGACGUCAAAUCAGCACGGCCCUUACGUCCGGGGCCACACACGUGUUACAAUGGGGGGCACAGAAAGCCGGUCGCUGGCGACAGCGAUCCAAUCCUCAAAUCCCCUCCCAGUUCGGACUGGAGUCUGCAACCCGACUCCACGAUGCUGGAUUCGCUAGUAAUCGCGCAUCAGCCAUGGCGCGUGAUACGUUCCCGGGACUUGUACACAC
rnacentral:rRNA from 1 species